rnacentral:lncRNA from 1 species
GUUUUGAGCGGCUGCUUCGAGGAUUUCUGUGGCGCCGUGGUAAGAGAGCUCCUCGAGGUUUUCUCCAAUUAUUUGAUUACGUGUCUGCCUUGGAUUCUUGGUUUCUCAAUUGGAAUUUUUGUUCUGAUCUCGUUUCACUUUAUUCACGGUGAUUUACCUUCUGAUCUUCUAGAGUGCAUGGUUUGGAGAGUUGGUUUAGGGUUUUUGCUUGCGGUUGGGUCGUUUACUUGGUGCUUCAGUUCUUUUCACCCGUUACAUUGUGAAAUUCUGUUUGCGUGCUAGCUUUUUGUUUUGUACCCCUCUUAAGCUGAAAUAUUGACUCUUCAAUAUUUUGUCAAUUGCAUCAGCCCAACGACAAAUAGUAAUGCCCGUCUAUGGGUUUGCUUAUAAUUGUACUCUUCAUAACGGCUAGCAAAUAAAUCUGGCAUUAACCUUUCCUUUUUUUUACUUGCGUGACACCUGGAUACGCAAUUGCACAGGGCUUUUUUCUCCUUUCUUUUUCUACUCUGGAAAAUCUGUAGUGCUCUUGAGAACGAAUUCUAGGGGUUCAUAGAUCUCACUUAUAAUAUGCACCUGCACGACCACGCAUAUUGUACUGAUCUUAAUUCGACACGUGCAUUGGCUACUAUGACAAUCUGAUAUUUCCAUUUUGUUUCAAAUACCGCUAUAAAAAUUUUAUUGUUUGUGAUUUAUGUGUGUGUGGUGAACAUUAUUGUUGUUUGUUAUGUGCUUGGCUGUACUAUGACGCUGACCAACAAGUUUAUUGUGGCGAACUUUAUACAGACCAAGCUAUGCAUGGUGAUCACUACUCUAUAAUAAUUAUCUUUGACUUCUUCUGUGCAUCAAAAAAUUUCACUCAUUCUUAAAAUGUCUUGGUAUAUGGACAAAGCUUCACGCAACUUCGAAUUUACUAUCUUUCUUCAUGUCCUCAUCUAUCCUCCAAUGAAAAAACCAUGGAAAUAUUCUUUUAACAACUCUAUUGAACCAGGAUCAUAUAUGCUUGUUCCAAGGAAAAUUAGAGUGGGCGACAGUGUUUAGAGGCAAAUUUUCAAAUUUGUUCACGUUUCCUAAACUUAUGCAUUUCUUUCUCUGUUUGAGUAAUUCUGCGUUGCGGUUCAAUUAGGACUGUUAAAUGGAAACGUGACCAAUGGUUGACAAACCUAUGCAUUUGCCACUGACUAGCUUUACAAGGCAUCUUUCUUAUCAUACGUUUAAAAAAAAGAAAAAGAAAAAAAUCAACUUCGUAAUGGUAGUACUGUCAGGCGUUUCGGAAGAGCUUCACGGUGGACAAUACUUAUCAUGUAGUUCAAAUUUGAAACUUUUUGCGGUCUACAUUCCUUCUUUUUUAACGUGAAUGGGGAUUCCUAGCAUUUUGCAUUUUUAUACAAUGAAUGGUUUGAAAAGUAUAUUCUAGAAAUGGAUGAAUAAUGGAGAAGAAAAUGUUUGUUCAUUGGAAAGAGAAAUGAUCUUUUUGGAUGGUUCCUUGUUAGUAUACAUAUGCCUGGAUGUGUAGGGAUCGAGUUCUUGUUUGGGGAACUGUUUUGAACCAGGAGAUGUUCACUUUUUGCAAACAUGAACUAGUCAUGUAUAUAGGGUGAUCCCUUCUUCCAAGUGGGUGACUCUGUUAUUAUACUCUUGCUGUUGUUGUCUCUUCUUCCAUGCUAAAAAGGAGCGGAGAGAAGAGCAAGAGUGGGAGCCCAGGUCUAUAACGAAAGUGUGGUGUGUGUGCUGCUGAAGUGUGCGGCUGUGCGAUAGACAAGGCAAUUUCUUAGUGAUUCUCCAACACAGUAGCUCAGGUGAUCACCUUACACUAUAGCCUUGAGGGCCAACAAGGAAGAUGGGAGACGAUUAGAGUAUCUGCUGGUUAAGAAAAGUCAUUCGCACCCGAUCUUGCUGGAUGCUUCCUAUUUAGAUGCUAAAAAGUGUUACAUGUUUAUGAAUAUGGCUCAAGUUGUGCAGUUUUUUAUGGAAGAUCUUCAGACAACUUAGGACAUCUGAACGAGCUUGAGAUGAGGGUCGCAUUCCUUCUUUAAAAAGUUUCUUGCGAGUAGAAAACAGGAAAAACAUGUGCAAAUAAGAAACGAGAAGAAUACAAGCCAAAGGUGAUAAUGAAUUCAGGAAAUGCGUAAAUCUUGGGGUGAUGAUCUCUUUCAUAGUAAAAGCGUUUCCAAGGAAUCACUAAGGCAACGCCAAGACACUAGACUCUAGCACUGUGAAUGUGAGUGCCUGCUUAUGGGAAUAGAUUUGCUUCUGAGCAUUUGCUCAAACACAAAGCCUUUCAUUGCUUAUGGUACGAGGUAUUUGGUUGCAGAUAAAGCCAAACACGCAUAUAUAUGUAGCAUUAUUAAACAUAUAUUAUAAAUAGUUAUAUUUAAAUAGUUUAUUUAUAUUUAACGUUACUAGAUUUAGUACAAAUUCUUGAAUGAAUGUCAUUAUUUUUGUUGUUUCUAGUUUCUUCCAUCCGUGAAUUUGUGGUAAUUUUUAUUUUGUAACUUUAGUGUCAUUAUUUUAUUUCUUAAAUAUCUGUUGACUGUUUUGAAUUGUUUUUUGUACAUUUAAAACAAAGUGUUGGCUUGUCUUCAGGCGUAUGGUGAUGACAAAAAGAACCUUAAGUGCUUUGAUCACUGUUUUAACCUGUUUAAUCACGUUUCAUCUUUCUUUGUUAACUCUUUUCUUUGAGAUAAAAGCAAGAGAACGGUGAGGAAACACAUAAAGAAAGUUAUAACUGUUUCAUACUGGACGUAUAUUCAUUUAAACCACAUAAAACUUUAUAUUUCUUUUUAUUUACUUUUAUGACGGCUUCCUUCCCCAGCCAUCCUCAACACCCGCUGCCCCAGAAAGAAGGGGAAAAAAAACCUGGCAUGGAUACACUUAGACUGUUUGUUAGGUAUGGUUUCCAAGUAAUAUUAUUGAGGAACAGUUGAUGGAUAGAAAGCUUAAAUAUAGGAAUGCGUCAUAUUCCAAAUUAUAUUUAGAUAUUUUCUGAAGCUCAUUUUUUUCGGAGCAUGCAGAAGUGGAUGUAUGGUUCUGAUUUUAAAACUGAUGGAAGAAGACUUUCUCCAAGUUAUGGGUAAUUUACGAGAGGAAAGGUGCAGCCAAAGAACCUGUGAGGGAGAGAGAGUGUGGAGUUCAUUUUUUGCAACGACUCCAUGUUUGAGUCCACAACAAUUUAAAUUGAUGCGGCCACAUCUUGCAUCAUUUUGUUAAGAUAAUCAUGAUGUAAUCAUCAGAUUCCUUUUUCGUUUUCCCCUCUCAAAUAUGUAAUAUCUUUAAUUGUGAUACUUGCAAGAAUAUAAGGUAUCCUUCAUGGUAGAGAGACCAACAUUGUUUAUAACCUAAUCACAAAACCUGCUUUUCAUUGCCUGCCUUCCUCUGCAUGAUGCCCACUUUUGUCAUUUGUUUGAGUUGUUUGUGCUAUUAUUUAGUUCUAAGGCAUGUGUGACGAAAUGACCUAUGCCUGAUAUUAAUGUAGGAUGUUUGCAUCAUUUUUCUCUUAUGAGUAACAUGACAGCAGAUAAGAGCACCAUCUCAUUUAUUCAUUUUUUUAUUUUCGUCACGUUGGGGUUUCCUCACAUCUUCAUAAAAUUAUUUUAUCAAGAACUGGUAGACUCUAUUAAAAUUUUGUCUUUUAUAACUACCUGAUUAUUAAAUUGUCCUACGUCCUUUUCACUAGAACAAAGAUUCUUAGGGUUGAGUAGUCGUUGGGGGUUAGAAGACCUAGAUUAAACAGAGGGGCUUAUCAAAGACCCGGGUAGUUUGUGGUGAGGUAGGAUGAUAUAUUAUUUUAACUUGGACAUAUUACGUUUUCUGUGUCUCUUGUGGACCUAAGCUGAUUAUGUUGCAAGUAUCUAUUUUGUUGGUGAUAAUUUAUUUUUGUUUCUGUUAACUAUAGAACAUACCUGGAUUAUUGAGCCAUCGAAUUUAAGUUUAUUUUCCGCUCAAAUGCAGACAUUUGCGUGAACUUGCGUCUGACAAAAUAUAAGAUCUGCCUUAUUCCAUCUCCCUUCUUGAUGAAUUAAUUUUAUUGACUUGGAGUAUUACCAGUAUAUCCAUUCUUUAUUUCUUAGAGGCCUUCAGAGAUCGUGCAUAUGAUGUAAUUGGUUGCUCUAGCGUGGAGUUUAAGCAGAUUCUUGUGCAUCUAACAUUCUUGCUGUUGCAUGUUCGUAGCCCUUUUUUUUCCUAUCAGUUCUUACGACUUUCUCUGCUUAAUUUUACGUGGCAAACGUGAAAUUUCUAUAAAAUAAGACAAUAUUAUGGCUUGUAGGAUCUGGCACGUGCUACAUUUGGUCAAAUCACGCAUUGGGCUUGCUAAUAUUUUGUAAAACCCGGCAAUCUUUACAGUGACCAGCUGUUUGCGAUCCUUUCUGGUCCUUGAUUUAUAGUCCUUUCCGCGCCCCCGUUUGAUGUUGGACAGACUUCCUCUGUUUACAGUGAAUGUUUACCAGAACGAAACGGCUCAUUGUUUGUCUCGCAUGCUGCAGAAGGAAACGAGGGCUGAAAGUUUUCCAACAGGGAAUUAGUAAUUGGAAUGUUUGUUGAGUUUGAGGUCUGGUUUGAAGCUUGGAUCAGGGUGGCAGCUCUGUGAAUCAGG